rnacentral:lncRNA from 1 species
AAAGAUUUUCAAUGACCAGUUCUAUGGUUACCAACCUAUUGGGCCACGUCAUAGACAUCAAGUGGAUGAGCAUUGCCUUUAUCAAUGACAGGUGAGGUUUCUACCCUCUGCCUCCUUUCAGGUGACUAGAGCAGGCUGGUUUGGAACAGGGCUUGGCCAUCAGCGUUUGUGUCAGAUGAGAAUCAUGCAAGGAUCCAGUGUGAUGGGCAGCAUCGCUUCGAGGUCAGUGUUAGUGAGCUGCCUGAUGAGACAGAUGUCUCCUCCACGUUGAACAGACACAGUAG